UCUUUCUUAACCAGUCUCUCUAUCUCUCUCUCUCUCUCCCUGGUUCUCUCUAGAACCUUCUCUUCUCCCUUCCUCUCCUUCUCCAGCCACCUCCCUCGCUGGAAACCAUGGCUUCUCAUCAUCUCCUAGCCCUCUACUUCACCCCUCGCAGGUUUGACACAACACUGAGGUCCUCAGGUGAAUCUGGAGCAAUUCAACUUCUACCCACGGUCCUUCAUGCCAUUUUUCGGGCACUUUCGGCAGUUCGAGUAAGAUCUAUGAUUUUUCUGGCUAAGACCGACAAUAUUUUAAGGUUUUGUCAUCUUCUCUAGGUUCUCUGAAACCC
rnacentral:lncRNA from 1 species